GCCAUUGAUGUCGCAUUGUCCUUUCACCCAAAAAUUUUUCAAAUAGAAACAGCGACUGCAUAAAGACAAAGCAUAAGGAGAGCUUAUCAUCCAACCCUAGACCACUGUGACUUUGUUGUAACCAUGGAUUAUACAAAGCAGUACUUAUUGUUAAUGAAUUAGAUGUGCCUUUGUCUUAUUAAUGUUUUUCUAAAAUUGAGUAAUUUUUUUUUUUCAGUAUAGAUGCUAUUGAACUUUG
rnacentral:misc_RNA from 1 species